GAUGAACGCUGGCGGCGUGCCUAAUACAUGCAAGUCGAGCGAACGGACGAGAAGCUUGCUUCUCUGAUGUUAGCGGCGGACGGGUGAGUAACACGUGGAUAACCUACCUAUAAGACUGGGAUAACUUCGGGAAACCGGAGCUAAUACCGGAUAAUAUUUUGAACCGCAUGAUUCAAAAGUGAAAGACGGUCUUGCUGUCACUUAUAGAUGGAUCCGCUCUGCAUUAGCUAGUUGGUAAGGUAACGGCUUACCAAGGCAACGAUGCAUAGCCGACCUGAGAGGGUGAUCGGCCACACUGGAACUGAGACACGGUCCAGACUCCUACGGGAGGCAGCAGUAGGGAAUCUUCCGCAAUGGGCGAAAGCCUGACGGAGCAACGCCGCGUGAGUGAUGAAGGUCUUCGGAUCGUAAAACUCUGUUAUUAGGGAAGAACAUAUGUGUAAGUAACUGUGCACAUCUUGACGGUACCUAAUCAGAAAGCCACGGCUAACUACGUG
rnacentral:rRNA from 1 species